rnacentral:rRNA from 1 species
GACGAACGCUGGCGGCGUGCUUAACACAUGCAAGUAGAAAGAAGUGGCGAACGGGUGAGUAAUACGUGGGUAACCUGCCCUCCUUUUUGGGAUAAGCCUUGGAAACGGGGUCUAAUACGGAAUAAAGGGGGAUGGGCUCGCGGCCUAUAAGCUUGGUGGUGGGGUGAUGGCCUACCAAGGCGGUGACGGGGAGACGGCCGGAGAUGUUGACAGGCGAUAUUGGUACUUGGGUACGGCCCUGAUUCCUACGGGCGGCAGCAGUGGGGGAUAUUGCACACUGGGCGAAAGCCUGAUGCAGCGACGCCGCGUGGGUGAUGAAGGCUUUCGGGUUGUAAACCUCUUUCGCUACCGAACGGGUAGGUGGAGAAGAAGCGCCGGCUAACUACGUGCCAGCAGCCGCGGUAAUUC